rnacentral:lncRNA from 1 species
AUUUGGCAACCCAGAUUGCCCUAUUAUUAAUACUAUGCAAGCCCGGGAGGUAAUCUCACGGCAAAUCAUUCUAUUGUUCUAACUCGACGUUCAUCGUGCCGCAUGUUGGUUGCAGCAUUUUGCGCUCCCGGUUCGAACAUUUCCGGACGCCGGUUCUAGCUCAUCGUUUACAAAAAAAUUACACGCAAAAACGUCGCUGACGCGUGGAACGCCGAUGAAGUGGUUCCAGCAAAAGUUGUGAUGCUGUCCGCGCGUGCCGAUGGCAGGUUCCAGCAAUUUGUGGUGCCGGUCGUAGCACCCCACGCAUAUGGUCCCAACAUUUGCCUCGCACCGUCUCGCCGGUGUCCCUCGUGUGGUCGCAGUUGCGCCAUAGCCUAUCUGCCAACGCAACAAAUCAUGCCACCGUAUCCAGCAAAUCACGUCGCCAGUUGUAGCAUUCGCAGUCGCUGUUCUAUAUACGCAACAAAACUGACCGUCGGUUCCAGCAAAACACUGACGCUUCCAGCAAAACUCACCGUCGAUUGCAACACCGGUCUCCUCCAUUGAAGCUCGCCGCUGAGCGCCCACCUGGCGCCUAGUAGCAUCUAGCCAUGCCAAUUAUAGCAUUCGCCAUGGUGAAUGCAGCUUGCCGUAAACAUGGUUGUGGCUUGUCGCAAAAAAUGGUUGGAGCAUGCGCUCUCUCCUGCUUGCCGUCGUUCAAGCAUGGUCGCCGUGGGUGGUAGCACCCGGCGCCGCGGUUGUAGCACCCCCACAACGCGGUUGUAGCAACCAGAUUGCCUGUGUUCAUCCCAUGUGUAGUCACGGCUGUUGUCGCGCAGGUGCAAGCAUGCGGCGACAGCCGAGCCAGGAGGCAGACCAUGGAC